CGUGAAAUUCCGUCGGAAUCCGGGAGGACCAUCUCCCAAGGCUAAAUACUCCCUAGUGACCGAUAGUGAACCAGUACCGUGAGGGAAAGGUGAAAAGCACCCCGGAAGGGGAGUGAAACAGUUCCUGAAACCGUGUGCCUACAAGUAGUUAGAGCCCGUUAAUGGGUGAUAGCGUGCCUUUUGUAGAAUGAACCGGCGAGUUACGAUUUGUUGCAAGGUUAAGCGGAAAAAGCGGAGCCGUAGCGAAAGCGAGUCUGAAUAGGGCGCAUAAGUAACAGGUCGUAGACCCGAAACCAGGUGAUCUACCCAUGUCCAGGAUGAAGGUAAGGUAAUACUUACUGGAGGUCCGAACCCACGCACGUUGAAAAGUGCGGGGAUGAGGUGUGGGUAGCGGAGAAAUUCCAAUCGAACUUGGAGAUAGCUGGUUCUCUCCGAAAUAGCUUUAGGGCUAGCCUCGAGGUAAAGAGUCAUGGAGGUAGAGCACUGUUUGGACUAGGGGCCCUUCUCGGGUUACCGAAUUCAGAUAAACUCCGAAUGCCAUGUACUUAUACUCGGGAGUCAGACUGCGAGUGAUAAGAUCCGUAGUCGAAAGGGAAACAGCCCAGACCACCAGUUAAGGUCCCCAAAUAUAUGUUAAGUGGAAAAGGAUGUGGGGUUGCUUAGACAACCAGGAUGUUGGCUUAGAAGCAGCCACCAUUGAAAGAGUGCGUAAUAGCUCACUGGUCGAGUGACCCCGCGCCGAAAAUGUACCGGGGCUAAACAUAUUACCGAAACUGUGGAUGAACCUCUUUAGAGGUUCGUGGUAGGAGAGCGUUCUAAGGGCGGUGAAGUCAGACCGGAAGGACUGGUGGAGCGCUUAGAAGUGAGAAUGCCGGUAUGAGUAGCGAAAGAAGGGUGAGAAUCCCUUCCACCGAAUAUCUAAGGUUUCCUGAGGAAGGCUCGUCCGCUCAGGGUUAGUCGGGACCUAAGCCGAGGCCGAUAGGCGUAGGCGAUGGACAACAGGUAGAGAUUCCUGUACCAGUGCUAAUUGUUUAACCGAUGGGGUGACACAGAAGGAUAGGGAAUCGCACGAAUGGAAAUGUGCGUCCAAGCAGUGAGUGUGAGAAGUAGGCAAAUCCGCUUCUCGCGAAGCAUGAGCUGUGAUGGGGAAGGAAAUUAAGUACGGAAGUUCCUGAUUUCACGCUGUCAAGAAAAGCCUCUAGGAAGAGUAGUACUGCCCGUACCGCAAACCGACACAGGUAGAUGAGGAGAGAAUCCUAAGGUGAGCGAGAGAACUCUCGUUAAGGAACUCGGCAAAAUGACCCCGUAACUUCGGGAGAAGGGGUGCUCUAUUAGGGUGCAAGCCCGAGAGAGCCGCAGUGAAUAGGCCCAGGCGACUGUUUAGCAAAAACACAGGUCUCUGCAAAACCGUAAGGUGACGUAUAGGGGCUGACGCCUGCCCGGUGCUGGAAGGUUAAGAGGAGUGCUUAGCUUCGGCGAAGGUACGAAUUGAAGCCCCAGUAAACGGCGGCCGUAACUAUAACGGUCCUAAGGUAGCGAAAUUCCUUGUCGGGUAAGUUCCGACCCGCACGAAAGGCGCAACGAUCUGGGCACUGUCUCAACGAGAGACUCGGUGAAAUUAUAGUACCUGUGAAGAUGCAGGUUACCCGCGACAGGACGGAAAGACCCCGUGGAGCUUUACUGCAACCUGAUAUGGAAUGUUUGUACCGCUUGUACAGGAUAGGUAGGAGCCGAAGAGACGUGUGCGCUAGCAUACGAGGAGGCAAUGGUGGGAUACUACCCUGGCUGUAUGACCAUUCUAACCCGCCACGCUUAGCGCGUGGGGAGACAGUGUCAGGUGGGCAGUUUGACUGGGGCGGUCGCCUCCUAAAGAGUAACGGAGGCGCCCAAAGGUUCCCUCAGAAUGGAUGGAAAUCAUUCGCAGAGUGUAAAGGCACAAGGGAGCUUGACUGCGAGACUGACAAGUCGAGCAGGGACGAAAGUCGGGCUUAGUGAUCCGGUGGUUCCGCAUGGAAGGGCCAUCGCUCAACGGAUAAAAGCUACCCCGGGGAUAACAGGCUUAUCUCCCCCAAGAGUCCACAUCGACGGGGAGGUUUGGCACCUCGAUGUCGGCUCGUCGCAUCCUGGGGCUGUAGUCGGUCCCAAGGGUUGGGCUGUUCGCCCAUUAAAGCGGCACGCGAGCUGGGUUCAGAACGUCGUGAGACAGUUCGGUCCCUAUCCGUCGCGGGCGCAGGAAAUUUGAGAGGAGCUGUCCUUAGUACGAGAGGACCGGGAUGGACACACCGCUGGUGUACCAGUUGUUCCGCCAGGAGCAUCGCUGGGUAGCUAUGUGUGGCAGGGAUAAACGCUGAAAGCAUCUAAGCGUGAAGCCCCCCUCAAGAUGAGAUUUCCCAUUUCUUCGGAAAGUAAGAUCCCUGAAAGAUGAUCAGGUAGAUAGGUUUGGAGUGGAAGUGUAGCGAUACAUGGAGCGGACAAAUACUAAUCGAUCGAGGACUUAACCAAAA
rnacentral:rRNA from 1 species